GACGAACGCUGGCGGCGUGCCUAAUACAUGCAAGUCGAGCGCAGGAAAUCGACGGAACCCUUCGGGGGGAAGUCGACGGAAUGAGCGGCGGACGGGUGAGUAACACGUAAAGAACCUGCCCUCAGGUCUGGGAUAACCACGAGAAAUCGGGGCUAAUACCGGAUGGGUCAUCGGACCGCAUGGUCCGAGGAUGAAAGGCGCUUCGGCGUCGCCCGGGGAUGGCUUUGCGGUGCAUUAGCUAGUUGGUGGGGUAACGGCCCACCAAGGCGACGAUGCAUAGCCGACCUGAGAGGGUGAUCGGCCACACUGGGACUGAGACACGGCCCAGACUCCUACGGGAGGCAGCAGUAGGGAAUCUUCCACAAUGGACGAAAGUCUGAUGGAGCAACGCCGCGUGAACGAUGAAGGCCUUCGGGUCGUAAAGUUCUGUUGUAAGGGAAGAACAAGUGCCGCAGGCAAUGGCGGCACCUUGACGGUACCUUGCGAGAAAGCCACGGCUAACUACGUGCCAGCCGCCGCAGUAA
rnacentral:rRNA from 1 species